ACCGAAACAUUCAUUUUUCCGUAUCAGAUUGUGUGGAAGUCUACUAAGAAAUUGGGCGUGGGGAUUGCUUCUGUAAAGCAUGGUUUCUGGACCACGACUUACAUCGUGGCACGCUACUCGCCUCCAGGAAAUUAUGACGGGAGAUUUAAACAACAAGUUGGAAAGAGCGUCAUGGCUCUGAAAUGAAACAUGUUGUCUCUGAUUUCAUGUCUUACUCAGACUCUACCAGUAGUGCUAGUGAACGAUAAACUUUUACGCUGAAUAAUAACUCUUUAUUGGUUAUGAAUACUGUUGUAUUUGACAAUUCUAAAUAUAUAACUGAUAUUUGUUUAAGAAAUGAUGGUUUUCCUAUUAACGUAUAUUGACUGUAGAUUCUUUAGACAACUGGUAAAUAUUACCAGAUAUAUCAUGGAACAAUAAUUUUACUGCUGUGGCUCGUGCAUAAUAUGCAAAGCGUAUUUACUGUACUUGCAAUAAAGGAAACAAGAUUGCAAUGUA